AUAGACAGAGGACGAAGAAAAGUAAUCAAAAGAACAUUGAGACAGAAAGAAAAAUUUUCUUUCAUACUCCAUCUAAAAAUUACACCUAGAAGACAUUUAGUUCGUUAUAAUCACACUUUGAUUCUAAGAGAUUCAAAAUAAACUUGGUGCAAAUUCUUUCGAUAGCAAAAUCAACUCCUUUCGCUGCAACGUAUUAAGGUAUACACUAAUUUUAAUCCUAUCUUUAUAUCAAUGGUAUCAAAUUCAGCUUAAAAAUGCUCUAUCUCUGAAUGGUAAUUUCUUGAUACAGUGAGAAAAUUUCUUGAAAUUAAUUGAAUAGUAAUUUCUUGAUAUCAAGUGAGAAAAUUUCUUGAAAUUAAUUGUUAAAGAGCUUGAAAAUACCUGUUAAAGAGCAUAGAUGGUCAGAACAAAAUCAGGGAGUAUGAAUCCGACAUAAAUUGGAAUACCAACCCUUGAUUUGUGGCGGGUUACACUAUAAAUGCAUUUCAGAUUUGGUUAUUUUUCUUUUUUCAUCGUUUCUCCAUAGAACUGUCAAAGAACUUUGAUCAUAAUAAAAAAAAGGGGGACUUGUGGAAGAAAUGAAGAAGAAGAUUAAAAGUGUACUCUUUUUUUUUCUUUGUUAACAAAGUAAAGGAAAGAGAAAGGUUUUUUGACUUUGUGAUGUUGUACACGUACACAAGAAUAGUCUAGAGAAAGUGCUUCCUAGAAAAAAGUGUAAUAAUUUUAGUAAUAUUUUUAUUUCAUUUCCUCUAAAUGUUCCACAACUUUUCUUUUUUGAUUAAGAAUAAGUAUUUAGAGUUAUUAAAUGAAACUAUAAAAGUGGCUUAAAUAAGUAUAUGAAUUAGACUUGAUAUUUUUGUCUUAAUCAAUUCCUAUAUUUUUCUAAAUUGAUUUUGCCUUUUACAAUAAAUUGUGACAUAAAAGGUCACAUUGAGUGGGUCCACCAUUUUUAUUGUUUCUUUGUUUCUAUUUCAGACAUGGCUAAACGGGGACAAACUCAAAUCACUCUAAGUGGGGGUUCUGGAUGUCGAACAAAGAGAUAAAGUGGAAGACCACGCCGUCAAAGGACAUGUUUUUUAGGUCGUGAGAUCAUACAAAAUGGUGUCCCCAGGAUGACACAAAAUCUGUUAUGGAAUGAGAGGGCUAUAGAAGGAAAAGAGAGAAGAAACUAAAAGAGUUCAAGCCUUUUAACAUGUCACCUAGUAUUACGGUUGCGAAAUUUAUUCAUUUAUUUGAAUUAAAACGUGUAGAACCGAAAAACUAUGUAGAAAUCUCAAAUUGGGAAGCAUUAGCUAUUUAAACAAAUUUUCUCCGUGAUCUGUGAGGCAAGAGAUUAAUUAAUGUUUACCAAGAGUUUGGCCUAGCGAGCCUUUUUGGGUGUAUAUAAGUCGUCUCGAGUAUUUGUGGGAUGACUUUUAUCUUUAAAUUGACUUGUAACUUGAAGUUCUUUAUUAACUUUAUAUUAUAAAUAUGUUAG
rnacentral:lncRNA from 1 species